rnacentral:RNase_P_RNA from 1 species
ACCGGUGGUCGGUGGAUCGCCGCAGCGAAACGUGCCGCGGAGGAAAGUCCGAGCUCCACAGGGCAGGGCGCUUCCUAACGGGAAGGCGGGGGUGGGCGUUUCCCCCGACGGAAAGUGCCACAGAAAUGAUACCGCCGAACGGCGCCUUCCGGCGCGCGUGGUAAGGGUGAAAUCGAGAGGUAAGAGCUCCCGUUCUUCCGUCGAGAGACGGGAGAAGGCAAACCCCGCCCGGAGAAAGGCAAAAGUGAGUGACCCUCUUCUGAGGGGGACCGGCCCGGUCCCGAUGCCGCAAGGCUCGUCGCUCCGGUCGCCGCUUGAGCCCGUUCGCAAGAAGGGGCCCAGAGAAAUGAUCCGCAAGCCGGAGCCAGGGGUUUCCCCUGUUUCUGGUGGACAGAACUCGGUGUACAGGCCGCCGCAAACG